rnacentral:rRNA from 1 species
GAUCAUGGCUCAGGAUGAACGCUAGCGACAGGCUUAACACAUGCAAGUCGAGGGGCAGCACAGGUAGCAAUACCGGGUGGCGACCGGCGCACGGGUGAGUAACGCGUAUGCAACUUGCCUAUCAGAGGGGGGAUAAUCCGGCGAAAGUCGGACUAAUACCGCAUGAAGCAGGGGCCCCGCAUGGGGAUAUUUGCUAAAGAUUCAUCGCUGAUAGAUAGGCAUGCCG